rnacentral:rRNA from 2 species
CAUCGAUGAAGAACGCAGCGAAAUGCGAUAAGUAAUGUGAAUUGCAGAAUUCAGUGAAUCAUCGAAUCUUUGAACGCACAUUGCGCCCGCCAGUAUUCUGGCGGGCAUGCCUGUUCGAGCGUCAUUUCAACACCCUCAAGCCCUGCUUGGUGUUGGG